AUGCAAGUCGAACGAGAGAGAGGAAGCUUGCUUCCUCAAUCGAGUGGCGAACGGGUGAGUAACGCGUGAGGAACCUGCCUCAAAGAGGGGGACAACAGUUGGAAACGACUGCUAAUACCGCAUAAGCCCACGGGUCGGCAUCGACCAGAGGGAAAAGGAGCAAUCCGCUUUGAGAUGGCCUCGCGUCCGAUUAGCUGGUUGGUGAGGUAAUGGCCCACCAAGGCGACGAUCGGUAGCCGGACUGAGAGGUUGAACGGCCACAUUGGGACUGAGACACGGCCCAGACUCCUACGGGAGGCAGCAGUGGGGAAUAUUGCACAAUGGGGGAAACCCUGAUGCAGCGACGCCGCGUGGAGGAAGAAGGUCUUCGGAUUGUAAACUCCUGUUGUUGAGGAAGAUAAUGACGGUACUCAACAAGGAAGUGACGGCUAACUACGUGCCAGCAGCCGCGGUAAAACGUAGGUCACAAGCGUUGUCCGGAAUUACUGGGUGUAAAGGGAGCGCAGGCGGGAAGACAAGUUGGAAGUGAAAUCUAUGGGCUCAACCCAUAAACUGCUUUCAAAACUGUUUUUCUUGAGUAGUGCAGAGGUAGGCGGAAUUCCCGGUGUAGCGGUGGAAUGCGUAGAUAUCGGGAGGAACACCAGUGGCGAAGGCGGCCUACUGGGCACCAACUGACGCUGAGGCUCGAAAGUGUGGGUAGCAAACAGGAUUAGAUACCCUGGUAGUCCACACCGUAAACGAUGAUUACUAGGUGUUGGAGGAUUGACCCCUUCAGUGCCGCAGUUAACACAAUAAGUAAUCCACCUGGGGAGUACGACCGCAAGGUUGAAACUCAAAGGAAUUGACGGGGGCCCGCACAAGCAGUGGAGUAUGUGGUUUAAUUCGACGCA
rnacentral:rRNA from 1 species